GACGAACGCUGGCGGCGUGCUUAACACAUGCAAGUCGUACGGUAAGGCCCUUUCGGUGGUACACGAGUGGCGAACGGGUGAGUAACACGUGAGUAACCUGCCCACAACUUUGGGAUAACGCUAGGAAACUGGUGCUAAUACUGGAUAUGUGCUCCUGCUGCAUGGUGGGGGUUGGAAAGCUCCGGCGGUUGUGGAUGGACUCGCGGCCUAUCAGCUUGUUGGUGGGGUAGUGGCCUACCAAGGCGGCGACGGGUAGCCGGCCUGAGAGGGUGACCGGCCACAUUGGGACUGAGAUACGGCCCAGACUCCUACGGGAGGCAGCAGUGGGGAAUAUUGCACAAUGGGCGCAAGCCUGAUGCAGCAACGCCGCGUGCGGGAUGACGGCCUUCGGGUUGUAAACCGCUUUCAGCAGGGACGAAGCUUUUUGUGACGGUACCUGCAGAAGAAGCACCGGCUAACUACGUG
rnacentral:rRNA from 1 species